GUUGCGAUAACGCCAUUCACGAAGUCAUUCGUUUCAUUGUCUAAUAUUUUUAAUUGGUAUAAUUGUUGAUGUUUUGCUCGUGUUAAACUUAUAUCUAUAGUUCUUUAGUGCGAGUAACGAAGAAAACCACUUCGAUGGCGAUGAAUAAAACUGCUACACAUAAAUUGUAUACUUGGAAGAUGAAGAGCAAAACUCGAGGAGAACCGAAGCGAAAGUCGAACCCGUUUCCACGCAAAGGGUGGAACCGAAACGAAAACGAAGCUCAUAUGAAUUAAUGGUCUUAAAUCUACUGGUGGUAGAGCUUUGUGCAAGCUCAUCUGGGUAGGUACCACCCACUCAUCAUAUAUUCUGCCGCAAAACAGGAGUACUUGGUAUUGUUGUGUUCCGGCUUGAAGGGUAAGUGAGCCAGUGUAAUUACAGGCACAAGGGACAUAACAUCUUAGUUCCCAAGGUUGGUGGCGCAUUGGUGAUGUAAGCGAUGGUUAAAAUUUCUUACAAUGCCAAUGUCUAUGGGCGUUGGUGACCAUUUACCAUCAGGUGGCCCAUAUGCUCGUCCGCCUUCCUAUACUAUAAAGAAAAAAAAUGGAAUCAGACAACGAGGAAAUCGAAAACUUCGGCAAAUACAUUACAAGCUUAUUGAACAAAUUACCGAAAGCUUUGUGUACGCAAUUAUAAAUGGAUAUAAUCAAUUUGAUUAUGACAGCCAAGUUAAACAAAAUGGCGAAAUAUUUGGCGCCAAAUUUGACAGCUGCCAGUGUUGGAAACACUUCGUAUUUAGUGACGUUACCUAAUGUUCCGGUUGUAACUCGAGCCAGAUAAUAAAACGCUUUAAUAGAGACUCGAGUCUUGCAAAAUUAUAGCGUGAAGUUACAAACAAUUACAAACCUAAAUCUUUUUUUUAAUUACCCAUUGGAUAGAACAUGAGAAUCUUAAUCUCAGCGAGGAAUGUGUUUAAGAACCAAUAGAAUCACUUAAUUUACCUAGCCUCGCUCAGCGCAGGUCUGGUGGAAACGGCUCAGCGGAGCGAGGUUUUUAAAGUACAUGCUAAACAAGGGAAAAAUGUGUGCCAGGGACGGAAACAAACGAAAAAAUAGCAGUCACUAUACGCUGUUUGUCUGAAGUACAUUGUGUAGUUUAUGGAAACGAGCCAGCUACGAAUCCUCGCACCGCUCAGUGGCCUAGCACAUCUUCGGUAGAAACACUUACACCGUUUCACAGCCUCGCUACACAUGCUCGUACCGCCCAGCUGCCUCACACAUCUUUUGUGGAAACGCAGCCUUAAGCUUGCGUCCCUUACGCGCCUCUCAGCACACGAUCUCAAUUCUAUGUUUUUUAUAUCUAAAACGACCAGUAUUGUAUUUAAUAAAUAAAUUUAGUAAAUCGUGUUGCAUAUAUUUAACGAAUAAUUAUUCUGAAAUAUAUGGUAGUUUUUUUUAACUAUAAUACGAUUGUUAAUACAAAGCGCUGUUACCUAUAAAGUGCUACAUAGCGCCUAUAUUUUUGAAGUAUGGGUAACAUACGAACGAAGAUGUUGCUUUUCGCCAUGUAGAAAGCGCCAAAAGCUUUUUAUUGUUAUAAAUUAUUAAUUUGUGUUUAUGAUUCAUCUCGUGCUUGAGGGUGAAGGAAAACAUCGUGAGGAAACCUGCAUAUUCCGAAUUAUAUUUUACAACACGAGUCCUUAGCCCAGCGAUGGGACAUUCAUGGGCUGUUUGUUGAUGUAUUUUUUUUUUUCUUAUAAAAAGAUACCUUCUUGCUUUUUUAUUUAAAACGCUUUCAAAUGUGUACUGAUGCAUCGUUGAUCAUUAUGUCGAAAAUUCUAGAACGAAUUACGAGACAGAUACGAGCUGUAAGUUUGAUAAAUAACGUUGCUUAGCGGUUGUUUAGUUGAAAACAGAUUUCGCUCUUUCUUUCAUUAUUGAUUUGACAUUCGAAAGAAAAAGACAGCAUUUUUUAAAUUAUCACGCGCUAAAGUU